GAUGAACGCUGGCGGCGUGCCUAAUACAUGCAAGUCGAGCGAAUGGAUUAAGAGCUUGCUCUUAUGAAGUUAGCGGCGGACGGGUGAGUAACACGUGGGUAACCUGCCCAUAAGACUGGGAUAACUCCGGGAAACCGGGGCUAAUACCGGAUAACAUUUUGAACCGCAUGGUUCGAAAUUGAAAGGCGGCUUCAGCUGUCACUUAUGGAUGGACCCGCGUCGCAUUAGCUAGUUGGUGAGGUAACGGCUCACCAAGGCAACGAUGCGUAGCCGGCCGGAGAGGGUGAGCGGCCACACUGGGACUGAGACACGGCCCAGACUCCUACGGGAGGUAGCAGUAGGGAAUCUUCCGCAAUGGACGAAAGUCUGACGGAGCAACGCCGCGUGAGUGAUGAAGGCUUUCGGGUCGUAAAACUCUGUUGUUAGGGAAGAACAAGUGCUAGUUGGAUAAGCUGGCACCUUGACGGUACCUAACCAGAAAGCCACGGCUAACUACGUGCCAGCCGCCGCGGUAA
rnacentral:rRNA from 1 species